UUCGCAAUUUCACUUUUUUUUGCUUCAGCCUCUGUACAACGCAUGAAAACUUACAUGUCAUGUAUCCACAAUGAUGUAGAAGCAGACCAAGCGAUUUGCAAGAGGAGGACCCCACGUAAAACAUUUCUGCAGGGUGAACAGGCAGUUCUUCGGGUGGUUGCUGUCCUUGAUGACCUUUUUGGCCUUCCUGUGACAUCGGGUUAGAGGUGACUUUGAAGUACGUUUCAAAGGAGUCCUGCAGGAGCAUCAGCGGUUUUUCCUGCAGGAAUUUGUCAAUCCUACAGGAGUCCUUCACAAAAGGACUUGUUUUGUACGUCAUUGGGGCUGAGCUCCCUGCCAUCCAGGACAUCUUCAUCGUGUGGUCUGGUAGGAAGAACCGGAAAAUCGUUAAAGACUCCAACCCCCCAAGCAAUAGACUAUUCUCUCUGCUUCCACAUGGCAAGUGGUACCGGUGCAUCAAGUCUGGCACCAAUAGGCUCUUGAACAGCUUCUAUCCCCAAGCAAUAAGACUGAUAAAUAGCAACAUGGACUAUCCGAGUUAAUCUUUUAUUUUUGCACUCUAUGCACACUUACAGGGCCCUAUACACUCACACUAACUCCAUCAUCUGCUCACUCACACAUAAUAUUUAGAUACAUUUAUACUCACUCUACACACACACGCUCUUUAAUUACUUGUUACUUUUAUCUCUAAUUCUUAUCUGUAUUUUUUGAAACUGCGUUGUUGGUUAGGGGCUCGUAAGUAAGCAUUCACUGUUGUAUUCGGCGCAUGUGACUAAUACUGUCACGCCCUGACCUUAGAGAUCCUUAGUAUUCUCUAUGUCUGGUUAGUCAGGGUGUGACUCGGGUGGGAAAGUCUGUGUUCUAUUUCUUUGUUUGUGGCCGAGUAUGGUUCUCAAUCAGAGGCAGCUGUCUAUCGUUGCCUCUGAUUGGGAAUCAUAUAAUAGUUGUCAUUUUCCUUUUGGGUUUUGUGGGAUCCUGUUUUAUGUUUAGUGUCUAUUCCUGAAGGAACUGUUCGUUUUCGCUUUGUGUUUUUUGAAUAAAAGGAAUCAUGAACACUUA